ensembl:lncRNA
GCUUCAGUUGUGUCCAACUCUGUGCGACCCCACAGAUGGCAGCCCACCAGGCGCCCCCGUCCCUGAGAUUCUCCAGGCAAGAACACUGGAGUGGGUUGCCAUUUCCUUCUCCAAUGCAGGAAAGUGAAAAGUGAAAGUGAAGCUGCUCAGUCGUGUCCAACUUGUAGCAACCCCAUGGACUGCAGCCCACCAGGCUCCUCCAUUCAUGGGAUUUUCCAGCUGUUUCUCCAACCUGAAAGAAAUCAGUCAUGAAACACAGCUCUUUGUUAAAGGUUGAACUAGAUCUCUUUCUGCAACAUCCCGCUGCCCAAAUAUGUUAGAGUCACUUGGACAUGAAGAAGAUCAAACCAGUCAAUCCAUAAGGAAAUCAAUCCUGAAUACUCAUUGGAAGCACUGAUACUGAAGCUCCAAUACGUCAGCCGCCUGACACAAAGAGCCGACUCAUUGGAAAAGACCCUGAGGCUGGAAAAGAUUGAAGGCAAAAGGAGAAGGGGGUGACAGAAGAUGAGAUGGUUAGAUGGCAUCAUUGACUCAAUGGACAUGACUGAACCAACUCCGGGAGAUAGUGAAGGACAAGGGAACCUCGCAUGCUGCAGUCCAUGGGGCCACAAAGAGUUGGACACAACUUAGCAACUGAACAACGACAACAAUCUCCAAUACCUCACCAGUCUACCCUUCCUGAUGAGGCUCUGAGUCCCUAAGAGGUUGGAUCUGAUUCUUAUCUGCAAGAGGCUGUGGCUUGGUGUUUGAUGAACGAGUGCAUAUAUGCCUGAAGGUGGCAAAUCAAAGGCAGGAGUCCAGACAGGCUGGAGGAUUGACACUGAACAUCUUAAAAAGCAAGCCCUUGAUCAGGGCCUUGAAUGCCGCUGUCAGAAGUCUAAUCUUAUCCUGGAGGUGCUGCCAAAGAACUUGACUGAAUUAUGUUCCUGACCUGGUGUUUUGUGGAAGGCAGAACUUGAAAGCAAUGAAACUAGAUUUGGUUUGGUUGAGGAAAUUUCCAAACCAAUUGUAAGGAGAUUAGUUUAGAUGGACAAUCUCAAUGGAAAUUAGGCGCUAUUCAUCAAGACAAUAGUCAGAUGUCCAAACAGAAGAGCCAAGAUCUGUUGUCCAUGACAAAACAUCAAUGGAAGAAUGAUCCAGAAGGCAUUUUGGAGAUCUGCUGCCUCCCCCUCUGCUCCAACUCCAAAGGCCCUGAGUGCAAAAUGGCAGGACAAUUUUAAAGGCUUAUCCUAAGCCAGUGCUACCAUUGCAAUUUGGAAGCAUAUAACACGGUUGAUUUCACAGGUUCACAUCUGGAAUCUCAUCCAUGGCUGAUUUAGAUGAGACUUUGGACUUACACUUUUAAAUUAAUGGUGGAAUGUGUUAAGACUUUUGGAGCUAUUGAAACUGAGCAGGACUUGAGAAAUUACCUGAGACCAAGGAAGUGCAAGCCCUGAACACACCCUAAUCUUAUCAGCAACCCCACCCUUGAACCAUUGCUAUAAAAC